CAGGGAGACAACAAAAUGUUAAAUAUUAAUUUUGUCACCUUAGGUCGAUCGGUAUCUCAGGUUCUUAAUUACUUUAAGAAUUUCAUUUCCUAAGUUUUUUCUAGGUCACACCCAUUACUUUUCCUGGGCCAUUAGCUCAGGUGGUUAGAGCGCACCCCUGAUAAGGGUGAGGUCCCUGGUUCAAGUCCAGGAUGGCCCAUAUCUCUAUGUUGGGGGUAUAGCUCAGUUGGUAGAGCGCCUGCUUUGCAAGCAGGAUGUCAGCGGUUCGAGUCCGCUUACCUCCACUGAUUACCACCUCUUCCAUAAAUUUAAAGAAGGGAAUAGUUAUGAGUGUUCAUUUAGAUCUGAACGAAUCUAGCUUCCUAAUUAAAUAAAUUAAGAUGCUGGACUCAUUGAAUUUUAUUCAUUGUUUUCAGAGAACCUUGACAACUGCAUAGAUUAUUUUUAAAGACAAUAAGCAUCUUUAAUGAUGCAGAUUUAUUAUUUGUGCUAAUGCAUUAAUAACAAUUCUAUUAAGCUGAUGCUUCAAUUUUGAAGUUAUU
rnacentral:tRNA from 1 species